ACAGUUGGAAACGACUGCUAAGACUGGAUAGGAGACAAGAAGGCAUCUUCUUGUUUUUAAAAGACCUAGCAAUAGGUAUGCUUAGGGAGGAGCUUGCGUCACAUUAGUUAGUUGGUGGGGCAAAGGCCUACCAAGACUAUGAUGUGUAGCCGGGCUGAGAGGUUGAACGGCCACAUUGGGACUGAGACACGGCCCAAACUCCUACGGGAGGCAGCAGUAGGAAAUUUUCGGCAAUGGAGGAAACUCUGACCGAGCAACGCCGCGUGAACGAUGAAGUAUUUCGGUACGUAAAGUUCUUUUAUUAGGGAAGAAUAAAUGAUGGAAAAAUCAUUCUGACGGUACCUAAUGAAUAAGCCCCGGCAAACUAUGUGCCAGCAGCCGCGGUAAUACAUAGGGGGCAAGCGUUAUCCGGAAUUAUUGGGCGUAAAGGGUGCGUAGGCGGUUAAAUAAGUUUAUGGUCUAAGUGCAAUGCUCAACAUUGUGAUGCUAUAAAAACUGUUUAGCUAGAGUAAGAUAGAGGCAAGUGGAAUUCCAUGUGUAGUGGUAAAAUGCGUAAAUAUAUGGAGGAACACCAGUAGCGAAAGCGGCUUGCUGGGUCUUUACUGACGCUGAGGCACGAAAGCGUGGGGAGCAAACAGGAUUAGAUACCCUGGUAGUCCACGCCGUAAACGAUGAGUACUAAGUGUCGGGGUAAAACUCGGUACUGAAGUUAACACAUUAAGUACUCCGCCUGAGUAGUACGUACGCAAGUAUGAAACUUAAAGGAAUUGACGGGACUCCGCACAAGCGGUGGAUCAUGUU
rnacentral:rRNA from 1 species